GACGAACGCUGGCGGCGUGCUUAACACAUGCAAGUCGAACGGAAAGGCCUGCUUUCCCUUGUGGAUUGCGGGUACUCGAGUGGCGAACGGGUGAGUAACACGUGAGUUAUCUGCCCCCAACUUGGGUAUAAGCCUGGGAAACUGUGUCUAAUUCCCGAUAGGGCUGCAGGGUGGUUCCUGUUGUGGAAAACGAUGUUCUAGUGGGUGGGGAUGAGCUGGCGGCCUAUCAGCUUGUUGGGGGGGUAAUGGCCUACCAAGGCGGCGACGGGUAGCCGGCCUGGGGGGGUGGACGGCCACAUUGGGACUGAGAUACGGCCCAGACUACUACGGGAGGCAGCAGUGGGGAAUACUGCACAAGGGGCGGAAGCCUGAUGCAGCGACGCCGCGUGGGGGAUGACGGCCUUCGGGUUGUACACUCCUUUCGACCGCGAGGAAGCCACCUGGUUGGAAGGGUGGUGACGGUAGUGGGAGAAGAAGCACCGGCUAACUACGUG
rnacentral:rRNA from 1 species